rnacentral:rRNA from 1 species
CCUACGGGAGGCAGCAGUGGGGAAUAUUGGACAAUGGGCGAAAGCCUGAUCCAGCAAUGCCGCGUGAGUGAUGAAGGCCUUCGGGUCGUAAAGCUCUUUUACCAGGGAUGAUAACGACAGUACCUGGAGAAUAAGCUCCGGCUAACUCCGUGCCAGCAGCCGCGGUAAUACGGAGGGAGCUAGCGUUGUUCGGAAUUACUGGGCGUAAAGAGUACGUAGGCGGUUAUUCAAGUCAGAGGUGAAAGCCCGGGGCUCAACCCCGGAACUGCCUUUGAAACUAGAUAACUAGAGUCUUGGAGAGGUUAGUGGAAUUCCGAGUGUAGAGGUGAAAUUCGUAGAUAUUCGGAAGAACACCAGUGGCGAAGGCGACUAACUGGACAAGUACUGACGCUGAGGUACGAAAGCGUGGGGAGCAAACAGGAUUAGAUACCCUGGUAGUCCACGCCGUAAACGAUGAUAACUAGUUGUUCGGUCACUUGGUGACUGAGUGACGCAGCUAACGCAUUAAGUUAUCCGCCUGGGGAGUACGGUCGCAAGNUUAAAACUCAAAUGAAUUGACCGG